GCCCCCAUCGUCUAGUGGCCUAGGACACCACCCUUUCAAGGUGGCGGCACGGGUUCGAAUUCACGCCGGCCUGUCAAGCCGGAGGUCGCGGGUUCGAGUCCCGUCGGGACCG
rnacentral:tRNA from 1 species